CGGUGUUCUCUGCUAGUCGGCCAGAGUUCGUAACUCUGUGGUCGGCACUCGGCAGUCAGCAUUCGGCAGUCGGUAGUCGCUAGUCGCUCUUCAGAAGUCGCAUCACCUUGCCGAGUCGUUGUGCGCGUGUGGUAGUGAAGGAUGCGUUCUACGCCAUUGUUGGCUCAAGGCGCCUUUAGAUAUCAAUUUGGAUAUGUUUACAGCACAGAGUUGCAAGAUCGAGACGGCCAGUACCGAAAGCAUUAAAAUAGUGGAGGUCCAUCUUGCAGCUUGUAUCAUUGGCGAGCAAAUUUCAAUUUACUAGAUGCUGCCAAGAGCAAUACUGUCCGACGCACCAUGAAUCUGCGAGACUCUGUCCACUCGUCUCACCCACGCGUUAACACUUUCACUAUCUGUUCUACCGAACUCAGAAAAUAAUCUCGGCAGUGUCCCGGGCCGAUUCUCUCUCUCCGAGUUGGCGGCACUUCUCGCGGACUCUGUUACACCGUUACUCUCCGUCGGUGCCGAUCUAUUCUCAGCGGUCAGCUGCCAGACGAUGUCUGCCAUAAAUUGCCGCUGUUGCCGCUGCAGCAUUUGUUGGUGCAAAAAGGUUUGCUGCAUUUCGAGUUGAUCGCGCGAGAUGCGAUUUUCUGCAGCUGUACAAGCGCCUUCUUAAACGCGUCCGCGGUCAACAGUUCGGAACAGCUAGCCGCUCCGGUUACCGAGCGAGAAUCUCGACCUUUCCAUAGACUUGGAUAAUAAAUCUAGCGAGUCUUGUCGCUCCAAGUAAUUAAAUCAA